GGGAUAGCCCAGGGAAACCUGGAUUAAUACCGGAUGAGACGGGACCCGCGAUGGCGGGACCCGGGAAAGGCGCUGCGGCGCCGCCGGGGGAUGAGUCUGCGUCCCAUUAGCUAGACGGCGGGUAACGGCCCACCGUGGCGACGAUGGGUAGCCGGCCUGAGAGGGUGGACGGCCACAUUGGAACUGAGACACGGUCCAGACUCCUACGGGAGGCAGCAGCUAAGAAUCUUCCGCAAUUGGGCGAAAGCCUGACGGAGCGACGCCCGCGUGAACGAAGAAGGCCGUGAGGGUUGUAAAGUUCUUUUCGGGUAGGGGGAACAACCGUGGCAGGGAAUGGCCGCGGGAUGACGUGAAUCCCGGAAUAAGCCCCGGCUAACUACGUGCCAGCAGCAGC
rnacentral:rRNA from 1 species